CCCAGGUGAGCUUGGAAACUGUGUAUGAGGAACUGACCUGCAAGGCUUGAUACCUGGCCUGCAGCAAAUGCCCUCCAAAUCCAUUUCAUUGACAGGGAUGCUCAGCCCAUGCAGAAAAUACACAUGGAUGACUGAGCAGCUCCAAGUCUCGCAGACCCUUCAGACUUCCAUCUCCUCCUUUGGUGUGUACAGUUUAACACCACACUGAUAAUAAAAGACAUGCUGGAUGGCAUGGUAUGAAGUAGAAGAGCACAGAUCAGGAAGGGAAAGCUGCUGGAGCGAGCCCAUGCAUCAGGCAUCACGCUGCCAUGACACCUCACCCACCACAUCUCCAAGGGAUCACACCACUGAAACCUGCAGUUCAGCACACAAAUGACUGGAGCUGCAGUUUAUUCUUUGCUCUGUUCCUCAUUUAGCAAAGCUGCUAAGCACCUCCCCAAUUGUUUGCAGGAUCAGAAGCAAAAGUGAAAUUA